UCCGUAACUUAGUCGGUAAAUCAAAUAGACCUUACGUCUGAAAUAGAGUUUCUUUCCACCAUAUAAUUGAUUUUUUGUAAUGGUGAAUAACUGCAAAGGCAACCCUUAUCUUUCUUCACGAUAUUUUAUUUAGGUCCACACACGUAUCAAAGAAAUAUUAUGCAAAUUUAAUUGAAAUGAUUUGAAUGUAACUGCAUUAACGUUGUCAGGGAAAACGUAUUCAUUACUUAUAUGAAUGUACGAUACUCACGCCUGAGUAAAUAUUUUCGACGUUAAACAGUAACGUUAACCAUAAAAAAUAAGUAUUCCGAUUAAUCAACUUAACUUGACAUUGACAAAAACUGUAAAUAUACGUGCUGUUUGAAACACUUAAUAAACAUAUGAUUCAUACAGGCGGUGAGAAAAUGAAAUUUCAUUCACGAAAAUGGUUAAACGUACCAUGUCGAGACGUGCCAAUGAUGAAUAAAAAAGAUUCAUGUUUUUCAGUGGUUAGUUACAAUAUGACCAUAAACAUAAAAUGGAAUAAUCUAAACAAGACCCUGUUCUUAUUCGCCAUGACGUCAUCCUGUUUACGGAAGUACAUCCACGCGUGGGACAGAUUCAGAAAUCGUCUCCGCCGACGAUUUUAUGCUCCUAGGGGUCAGACGAUAGACCCAUCAACAAUUGUGAACGAGACUGGUACCAGGGACAUGGUUAUUACUAAAACUUACAAGACUAACAAAAUACUACCAGAAAGCUUAGCUGCACCAGGGACAAUUGCAAAAGAAUGUCCAGGAGCUGUAUGUGAACCAGUUACAGGAAUUAAUGAAGGCUUUGAAAAACUCGUCGGAGAAUACGUGGCGUGUAUUAUAAACAAGGCUGCACACUCUUUGUGCAUAAAGAGACUGGUGUCGCUAGGCAACACAAAUAUCAUCAUGGACAAUUCUGCAGACAAUGUUUUUCUGUCACCAAGUAUCAUCAGCCAAAUCGCCAACAUAGUGCUCAGUGGCAGAAAGCCUAUCCAAUAUUGUAUUAGAAUCAGACAUCAACUAAUCCGGCCAUUCACAGAGAUAUCAAAGAAUUUAUGGUGCAGAUGUCUUUGAAACUGUUGGCGAGGAACUUGAUGAUGCCCAACCUAUUGCCAGAUUAUAAUUGCUGAGAAGGAAACUAAAGACAAAUGUAUUUAUCCGAAGCUGAUUUUUGUUAAUAUUUUGUUAACUUUUUCAUCGAAUCAUAUUUCCAUAUUUUUUUUUGUGUGAGGUUCUGAAUGUGAUCUUUUGCAAUAAAGUUCAUAGAAACUUCAAAAAAAAGUGUUUGUUUUGACUGAACGUAUUGUUUUGUCGUUUUCUUUCUUGAGAAUCAUUCUGAUUAUUAUAAUUCGUAUAAAACAGCUGUACCACAUUUUUAUGAGCUGACAAUGCAUGCCAUUGUGAUGCCCUUGUUAACUUAAGCAUGGUAGAUCUAAUCAUUUUCCACAGUCUAGCAUAAAAC
rnacentral:misc_RNA from 1 species